rnacentral:rRNA from 1 species
UGGGGAAUAUUGGACAAUGGGACCAAAAGUCUGAUCCAGCAAUUCUGUGUGCACGAUGAAGUUUUUCGGAAUGUAAAGUGCUUUCAGUUGGGACGAAGUAAGUGACGGUACCAACAGAAGAAAGCGACGGCUAAAUACGUGCCAGCAGCCGCGGUAAUACGUAUGUCGCAAGCGUUAUCCGGAUUUAUUGGGCGUAAAGCGCGUCUAGGCGGUUUGGUAAGUCUGAUGUGAAAAUGCGGGGCUCAACUCCGUAUUGCGUUGGAAACUGUCAAACUAGAGUACUGGAGAGGUGGGCGGAACUACAAGUGUAGAGGUGAAAUUCGUAGAU